AAAGAGAGAGUUGACCAAAUUUUGACUUUUUGAUCCGUGGCUCGUAUCGACGAUCGGAGACCGUGGUUGCGUUCAUCUCGUCGAGACGAACCCAUUUUGCUAUUCAUACGUCCAUUCCGGGCACUUUGAAACCCGUAGCGAGCCCAAUAAAUUCAGACCGUUCGUUGUUUUAAAAAAAAUAAAAUAAAAGAAAGGAUAAAUACUGGAUCGAUCCAUCCAGACUCUUCACGUCGUGUGUUUCUCUCUCUCUCUCGCGAACUCUCUUUCUCCUGUUGCUUUGCCGCCGCUGCGCUGCUCCUGCCGCGGCGCCGCUGCUUGCUUGCGCCAACACGCCGCCGCCGGCCGCCGCUGCGUCGAGCCGCCGGUCGCCGCCACGUCGCGCCGAGCACCGGACGCCGUCGCUCCCGCACACGACGCUGUCGCCGUCCGCCGGCUAGCGCAGCCUGCAUCGCCGGACUGCGCGCCGCCACUGCCGUGCACCGCUGCUGGCCGCUGUGCGCCGCCGUGCGUCGCCGUAUAGGCAAGCCAGCAGCAACCGGCCGAAGAAAACCAGUGCAACACGGAAGAAGAAGCCAGGAGAAGAAGAAGGAAGAAAAGAAAGAGAAAAGAAAAAAGAAGAAGAAAAGGAAAAAAAAAAAGAAAAGGGGAAAAAGUUGGAAAUUUUCAAAAUUUCGUCGAAUUCGUCGUCAAACUUUCGAAGGCGAAUUUUCGGUGAUACUAUUUCCGGACGUUCUUGAUCGAAUUUUCUUCAUCGUCGGUAAAGGCAAGUGAAUGUAUUGUAUGACUAUGCUUUAACCUAAUAUUGGGUUGCCUACAUUCUUUAAUUACAGUGCAUUCAUCUAAUCUGAAUGACUGAUUCUGGACUGAGUACUAUGUUGUUUACGUUUCCAGAAGUUUACUCGAUGAUUGAUUUAUGAAGUGCAGUAGGCACAAUAUGCCAUUCUGCAGUUGUUCA